UAUUUUUCUGUGUCUCCUCCAGAAGGUGACCUCGAUCUCGGUUUUUCUGUCUCUCUUUGCAGUGGCCCAGCGUGUGGCACCGGGCCUGGCUUUAGGGCCUGGCUCAGAGGUGUCCCCAAGGGCACACAUCUGACCAGGUAACUGAGCAACAGGAGAGGGUUAGCAAAGGUCUGAGGUGUGCCAGCAGCCGUGACUCACAGGAAACUCCUGAUCUCUGUCCCCAGUCUAAGAAUUUUCUAAGAAUUUCUCCCAGCAAUCCACGAAGGCAGGAGCGGUGUGAAGUCCAUGAGGAAGAGGACAUCAGAGAGGACCCGGCCGUUUCAGGGUCCAAAACCUAGAAACCAGAGCCCCAGAGAGCGAAUUCACAUCUCAACAGGCAGCGUCAAGCAGAGAAGGACAAGGCAAAUGCAGGGAGAAGAGUUAUGGGAUGCUCUGCUAGGACAGCCAAGUUCCAGACAGUUCAACCUCAGGGGAGCAGAACUCACCACCCCAAAAUACAGCUCUUUGGCACAAGCAUUAAUUCAGGCCCCAUUUACUCCUGUUCUACAUUUCACCUUGCAUCUGAGUCAACCAAAGAAGUGACGUCCCCGUCUCAAGGGGGAAGCAAGACAGUGAAUCAUUCUCAGAGUUGAGUUUCGUCCUAGGCCCCAAAACACCUGAAAAUAUCUAAGAAGAACUGAAUCCCGAGCUGGAGGACAUGAGUUUCGAACAAACCACCGGCAUCAACACCCCUGCCUUGGACGGUUUAAGGAGUAACAUCUACUGUUCACCCGGAUGGGACCCUACCCUGGAUUCCUGAAGGAGCAUCUGCCCCGGACCCUUGUCCAGUGUAAACCCCCAACCCCAAGCAGCAGGCGGACCCACCUCUCCUCUUUUCAGAGUCUCCCAGACACCCUGUCUGCCCUACUCUUUCUCUCACAUUAUUCAGUAAACUCAGCUCUCUUCCUCCUGUCUGUA